GGUUGGUCUGAAGGUAGUGUGUUAUCUCAACUGAUUGCUCACAGUUACAGAUCAAACUCCUUGUUCUAUUCUUUUCCCCCUUCUCACUACUGCACUUGACUAAUCUAAA
ensembl:Y_RNA Y_RNA Y RNA